rnacentral:sRNA from 1 species
UCCCCGCACAAAGCGGGUGGAACCCGAAG